rnacentral:lncRNA from 1 species
ACCACCAUACUCAGCAUUACCCUGGCCUUUUAGAGAAGAAAAACCUAAAUGCUGAUGGGUAGAAUUAAAAUGGUUCAAUAGAGAGAAAGAAGGUGAAGCUGUUUCAGCGAUGGCUGGAACUGUUGAAGAUCCAGAAGAUAGCAAAUUGCGGGAGAUUGUUUUUGAUAGGAAGAAUUUCUUUUCUUCUGUAACCAGGAGGAAAGAAGAGAAUCGACUCAGAUGGUGACACUCUGAGAACUAAUAGGUGAUAAGGUAUAGUUUUAAAUUUUGUUGC